rnacentral:lncRNA from 1 species
UACAACAACCAUCUGUUAAGACCUGAAUGGUUUUUCUUGCAAGUGAAGAUGUUAAGGAUUAUUGCCUCAUCAAUGAGAACCCUUGAACCUCAUGCAAUGUUUUAUCUUGUUGCUGCUGUCUCUAAUUUUGGAAGAGAUUGGUAAUGGUUCAAUAUAAUGAAAUCAUCAUCCUUUUCUAGCAUGAUAAUGGUAAUGGUAAUAGUUCAAUAUAAUGUAUUUGCUUUGCCUUUUUAAUGUUAUAUCUUUU